UCCUUAGAUGUUCUGGGCCGCACGCGCGCUACACUGAUGCAUUCAACGAGUCUAAAACCUGCUCUGAUAGGGGUGGGUAAUCUUUUGAAUGUGCAUCGUGAUUGGGAUAGAUGAUUGCAAUUUUUCAUCUUCAACGAGGAAUGCCUAGUAAACGCAAGUCAUCAGCUUGCAUUGAUUACGUCCCUGCCCUUUGUACACACCGCCCGUCGCUCCUACCGAUUGAAUGAUCCGAUGAAUAUCAUGGAUUGAGGAUGCAAGCAGGUUCGCCUGUCUUCAUCUUCGAGAAGUGAAGUAAAUCUUAUCAUUUAGAGGAAGGAGAAGUCGUAACA
rnacentral:rRNA from 1 species